UACGAAGGGGGCUAGCGUUGCUCGGAAUCACUGGGCGUAAAGCGCACGUAGGCGGCUUUGUAAGUUAGAGGUGAAAGCCCGGGGCUCAACUCCGGAAUUGCCUUUAAGACUGCAUCGCUAGAAUUGUGGAGAGGUAAGUGGAAUUCCGAGUGUAGAGGUGAAAUUCGUAGAUAUUCGGAAGAACACCAGUGGCGAAGGCGACUUACUGGACACAUAUUGACGCUGAGGUGCGAAAAGCGUGGGGAGCAAACAGG
rnacentral:rRNA from 1 species